AUUGAACGCUGGCGGCAGGCCUAACACAUGCAAGUCGAACGGUAGCACAGAGAGCUUGCUCUCGGGUGACGAGUGGCGGACGGGUGAGUAACGUCUGGGAAACUGCCCGAUGGAGGGGGAUAACUACUGGAAACGGUAGCUAAUACCGCAUAACGUCGCAAGACCAAAGUGGGGGACCUUCGGGCCUCACACCAUCGGAUGUGCCCAGAUGGGAUUAGCUAGUAGGUUGGGUAAUGGCUCACCUAGGCGACGAUCCCUAGCUGGUCUGAGAGGAUGACCAGCCACACUGGAACUGAGACACGGUCCAGACUCCUACGGGAGGCAGCAGUGGGGAAUAUUGCACAAGGGGCGCAAGCCUGAUGCAGCCAUGCCGCGUGUAUGAAGAAGGCCUUCGGGUUGUAAAGUACUUUCAGCGGGGAGGAAGGCGGUGAAGAUAAUAACUUCACCGAUUGACGUUACCCGCAGAAGAAGCACCGGCUAACUCCGUGCCAGCCGCCGCCGUAA
rnacentral:rRNA from 1 species